rnacentral:rRNA from 1 species
GAUAAACGCUGGCGGCGUGCCUGAUACAUGCAAGUCGAGCGAACGGACGAGAAGCUUGCUUCUCUGAUGUUAGCGGCGGACGGGUGAGUAACACGUGGAUAACCUACCUAUAAGACUGGGAUAACUUCGGGAAACCGGAGCUAAUACCGGAUAAUAUUUUGAACCGCAUGGUUCAAAAGUGAAAGACGGUCUUGCUGUCACUUAUAGAUGGAUCCGCGCUGCAUUAGCUAGUUGGUAAGGUAACGGCUUACCAAGGCAACGAUGCAUAGCCGACCUGAGAGGGUGAUCGGCCACACUGGAACUGAGACACGGUCCAGACUCCUACGGGAGGCAGCAGUAGGGAAUCUUCCGCAAUGGGCGAAAGCCUGACGGAGCAACGCCGCGUGAGUGAUGAAGGUCUUCGGAUCGUAAAACUCUGUUAUUAGGGAAGAACAUAUGUGUAAGUAACUGUGCACAUCUUGACGGUACCUAAUCAGAAAGCCACGGCUAACUACGUGCCAGCAGCCGCGGUAAUACGUAGGUGGCAAGCGUUAUCCGGAAUUAUUGGGCGUAAAGCGCGCGUAGGCGGUUUUUUAAGUCUGAUGUGAAAGCCCACGGCUCAACCGUGGAAGGUCAUUGGAAACUGGAAAACUUGAGUGCAGAAGAGGAAAGUGGAAUUCCAUGUGUAGCGGUGAAAUGCGCAGAGAUAUGGAGGAACACCAGUGGCGAAGGCGACUUUCUGGUCUGUAACUGACGCUGAUGUGCGAAAGCGUGGGGAUCAAACAGGAUUAGAUACCCUGGUAGUCCACGCCGUAAACGAUGAGUGCUAAGUGUUAGGGGGUUUCCGCCCCUUAGUGCUGCAGCUAACGCAUUAAGCACUCCGCCUGGGGAGUACGACCGCAAGGUUGAAACUCAAAGGAAUUGACGGGGACCCGCACAAGCGGUGGAGCAUGUGGUUUAAUUCGAAGCAACGCGAAGAACCUUACCAAAUCUUGACAUCCUUUGACAACUCUAGAGAUAGAGCCUUCCCCUUCGGGGGACAAAGUGACAGGUGGUGCAUGGUUGUCGUCAGCUCGUGUCGUGAGAUGUUGGGUUAAGUCCCGCAACGAGCGCAACCCUUAAGCUUAGUUGCCAUCAUUAAGUUGGGCACUCUAAGUUGACUGCCGGUGACAAACCGGAGGAAGGUGGGGAUGACGUCAAAUCAUCAUGCCCCUUAUGAUUUGGGCUACACACGUGCUACAAUGGACAAUACAAAGGGCAGCGAAACCGCGAGGUCAAGCAAAUCCCAUAAAGUUGUUCUCAGUUCGGAUUGUAGUCUGCAACUCGACUACAUGAAGCUGGAAUCGCUAGUAAUCGUAGAUCAGCAUGCUACGGUGAAUACGUUCCCGGGUCU